rnacentral:rRNA from 1 species
CAGCAGCCGCGGGAAUACGUAGGGCGCAAGCGUUAUCCGGAAUUAUUGGGCGUAAAGAGCUCGUAGGCGGUUUGUCGCGUCUGCCGUGAAAGUCCGGGGCUCAACCCCGGAUCUGCGGUGGGUACGGGCAGACUAGAGUGAUGUGGGGGAGACUGGAAUUCCUGGUGUAGCGGUGAAAUGCGCAGAUAUCAGGAGGAACACCGAUGGCGAAGGCAGGUCUCUGGGCAUUAACUGACGCUGAGGAGCGAAAGCGUGGGGAGCGAACAGGAUUAGAUACCCCCGUAGUCCCUGUCUCUUAUAC